GUUUUACUUCUUUGCUGCAGUAAUAUGUGGUUAUUAUUAUUGCAAGUUGUCCCUUAAUGCUCAUGUCAUUUAUUGACCUUUAUUAUUAAUCCAUUAUUAUAUCACAUACUUCACUGCUUGUUAUUUAAAUUUUUUACACUUGGUAACAAUCUUAAUGGAUGUGAUAUAUGAGCAACCUUAAAAUGGAAAAUAUUUAUAAGGUACAGUAAAUAUAAAUGAAAGAUCACAAUACUUUUUUUUUCCAGAACAGAUUAGAUUUAUAAGGAUUCUGUUUUGUUAUCUAACUAGAUCAAGUAAAUAAAAUGCAUCUUAAUAGAUAAAACUUUAUAUUUCAUGCCAAACUUGAUGGUGUAAUUAAUACAGCAUUUAAAUUUCACUUGAGAAUAAU
rnacentral:misc_RNA from 1 species